ACGUUUACGCCGCCUAAUUACUUAAUUACUUGAACUUCUUCUUCUUCCCGUUCUGCCUGCUUGUUUGGUCAGUUCUUGCGAGUAGCAUUAAGCAGGAACAGGAUGUGCAUGCGUAUAUUUGUAUAGUUCUUGGUGAAGAGAAAUUAAAAUUACCGUUUGUUUCAGUCUGUGUGUAUUUACAGAACAGCGGCGGACGCAACUUUAAAAUAUAGAUGGGACGAAGAACGAUUUGUUCACUCGAUAAGAGGGCUGAGAUUGUAUGCAGUUUAGACCAUUGGAUCAACAAAUAGAGGGCUGAGAUUGUGUGCAGUUGCUAUUGUACAGUCACAAUAGCAACUGCACUGGAUCUCAAUUCACGCGAAUCUGGCUGCUGGUUAAUUUCGGAGUUCGAUGCUGCUGGCAUUUUACCUUUUCCUUUUUGUGUGUUGCCAAAAGAUGAUGAAAGUUUGUUGCACACACGCUUCGAACUUUUAUUUGUGAUGGGAGUACCUAUACAUCUUUCGAAAGAUUUUUAUGAUCGUAUCACACAGAUUUUUAAUCUUUAGAUUAAAAUCCGAUAGAUAUAAUAAAAAGCAAAAAGCAAUUAAGAAACACCAUAAUGGACACUAAAUUACCAUAUCCUCAAGAAAAAGACCAAAUCCAAUACAAAAUUUAAAAUUUACAUGCGAAGAUUCAAAAAUUACAGUGUAACUUACAAAAGUUACAGUGUAAGUUUCAUAAAUUACACUGUAACUUACAAGAAAAUGCACUGUAAAUUUGAGUGAGAAAAUCGAGUGAGAGAUAAGAAAAAAUCUUUCGUGUGAGAUAUAGCAAAAUCGAACUUCAAAAUAUUUGGCCCAUACACACAGUAGUACACCCAGCAGACUCCGCACUUUUGAAGCCCAACAGGCCCAGGCCUUGUAGAAAUUGCGCAAUGCGCUUUUUUUUUUCACAAUCCUGUUUCUUUCGAAGAGUUAGAUAUUUAGAGCGGAUUGUGUGUUUGGAUCUUGAUAUACAAAUGAAAUAUAAAAUUUAUAUAGAACUAUUACAUGAAGUUUUAAAACAUCAUAUCUCAAACAUCUGUCAAUCCACAAAAGCAGCUCCAUGCUGGCUUCAGGAGGAUUUUGAUAAUAAGAAACAUUUCGAUUUGGCAAUCCAUUUUCAAGAAUUAAGCUUUUUUUUAAAAAAAAAUGCUUUGUCUAAGAACAUAUUUUCGCAAGUAGGCAACUAAUUCACACCCACCGUCUGGAGAGUCUGGUCAUUUCAUUUGAACCUUGAUUUUUAAAAUAAUUUUCUAACGUAAUUUAUAAAAUAUGUUUGAAUGCUUAAAAUCCUUAAGGAUAGAGGACUUUGAUGCUUCUCAUUAAAUGAGGGCUGUUUAAGGAUAAGAUGGGGAAAAAAAUAAAUGAGAGGUGGGGCUUGUGGUUCUCUAGGAAUUAUUAUAUUUAUCCACAAACUUUAAAUGCUUCGAAUGCUUAUAUUUGCAGAUUAUGGAAGUGAUAACGGAUUCUCGAGUGUGUAUUCUUGAUACAUGUUCAACACAGAGACCAGAAAUUAGUCCACGUAACAUCAUUGUUUCAUGUUGAAGCAUAAAUAUGGAUGUAUUAUUCCAACAUUUUAAAUUUUGAUUAGCACACUUGUGCAUGAUUCCACAACCGCAAUAAAUACGUUUCCGUGACAAUUUACACUUAAUAGCCUAACAACCUACAGUAUGCAGGGCCGGUCCUGACUUUUCAGGGUCCCGGUGCAGAGCCCUUAACAUACUAUAUAAUAAUAAUCAAUACAAACGUAUGCUUUAUAUAUACGAGUAAUUUUCAUAGAAAAUUUAGAAAUAAUAUUUAGGUAGAAAACAUUGUACAUAUUACCUUAAAACUUUCUUCUGCCAUUUCUAGAUGCGAAGUCAUUGAUAAUAGUAUUAAUAUCAAUUUCAUCCAACAAUUUCUUCUCCACGAAAUGGCCUGAUAAUUGAAAAAAUAAAAGGUUUAACUUAUGAAUUUCACUACAAUAUUACAAAUUUAAAUUUAAAUUCUUACCAAUUAGUUGAUCACAAGCAUCUAGAUGCGUACGGUUGAAGCAUCUAGACCCCCGUUGUUAAUUUUGGUAAUUAAAAAGCGCUAAUUGUGGACUAACCGUUGCUAUUGAGAUAAUAUUCUAAGUUAGGUCCACGUCAUGUGUGCGCAUGAAUGAUUAUCGAUGGAUUAAAAUUUGAUGGCACGAAGCGAAGAAAAGAAAACGGUAAAACUAGUGUUUUAAUUUUAAAAUUGAUCGAGGUAAAGGGCGAUCAAAUUUGCUAGUUUAUUUGUUAGUUUCGCCGUACUAUCAAGGGGGGUAAUGACCUAGUAAUAGCAAAGAGAUGAUUAAAUUGCCACAUUAGGUCAUUGCAUUUUCACUUGUGCUCACUUUUUCAUCACACACACACACAAAAUCAUUUUGCCUUUCACUGGGCUUGGCCUGACCAGGGGCGGUCAGACCGGUGCCACAGUAGCGGUCUGACCGGCGUGCCCUGGCCGGUCUGACCGGCACCACAACGGUGGUCUGACCGGCGGCACAUGCACGGUCAGACCGACCCCCUAGAGGCCGGGAUGGUGCUGCUCGGGGUGGCCAAUACAGAGCCGACGGAGCCGUAUUCGGUCAGACCGAGCUGAUGGCGGUCUGACCAAGCCGAUGCCAGUCUGACCGCCCACUCAACUCCGGUCUGACCGGCCAGGCCGAUGGGGCCCUCUGAUAGCACUACAACGGCUAGUUUUCUAGCCGUUGCAGAGUAGCACGGUUUGACCGGCCACAAACCUCCGGUCAGACCGGCAGAGCACAGAGUUGGGGGAUUUCGCCCCCAACGGCUAGUUUUGGUUGGUGGGAGUAUAAAUACUCCCCCUCCAGCAGCAAGGGGGCUCUCUUGGCACCCAAUUCAAUUGCAUACACCCCUUGCACCUCUCUCACACCCACUUGAGUUUUGUGUUCAUCCAUCUAGUGUGUUAGAGGGUUGAUUAGCCAAGAGUCAAGUGCAUUGCUUCCAUUUGUAGAGCUAGUGUGGCACUUGAUUGAUCAUCUCCACGCCGGGUCAUUGCUUGUUACUCUUGGAGGUUGCCGCCUCCUAGACGGCUUGUGGAGGAGUUGCCCGGUGACCUCUCCGAGAAGAUUGUGGAGGAGGCCCGGCGCCGGUUUGUGAGUGGUUUGGAGUUUACCACCUUCAGAGUGAAGGAAGAACUACCCUAGUGAUCGAGGCUUGGGUAGUCCUCUCCGUGGGCCGGCUCCCACCUUGCCCACCCCUUGACGAAGGGGGCGUGCGGUGGCUUCGUGGUUGAGCGGUGGAGUUGGGCUCGCCUCAACGAGGAGUAGGAAAUCGGCGAGUUUCCGAACCUCGGUGAAAAAUCUCUUGUCUCCUUGUCUCAUUUGAUUGUCGCAUUUACAUUUGUGCAAUUUACAUUUCUAGAGACAAACUUGAGAUCAUAUCACCCUAGGAUUGCUAAAUAUUGACAUAGGAGUGUGAUUUACUUUCCUAGAGAUAUAAUGGAGCCACUAUCACCCUAGGUUUGCAAAACAUAACUUAGUUGCUUAGUUAGAGUUGCCCCUCACCAAGUCUAGCAAUUUAGGUUAGUUUUGAUUAUGUGUCAUUUAGUUUUAAAUCGCCUAUUCACCCCCCUCUAGUCGACAUCUCGAUCCUACAACGGUAACUGAGUCGAAAACACGUACUAAUGCGGCUUCGUCGAAAGCCAACCUAUGAGAUUACAUAUGGAGACAUACUGUUACAAAUUUUCAUCUUUUCAAGCAAAUUAGCAAUGGUGUUGGCAUGUUGCACUCACGGACUCACCUGAACGGUGGCAAGCAGAAGCAAGAAGAAAGCAGCGGCUGCAGCCUGCACCUCGUGUGGUCCUGCGGAACAGCGGUUGGCGCCGGAAUUGCGUUGACGAUGGCAUGGCGGCUUGCCGCCAACCAGUGGCGGAACCAGGAUCUUCGGACGCCUAGGGCCUAAAUUAAAGGCUAAAACUUGCCAUGUUUUUGAACCAUGCUUUUUGAAUGAUUUUCUUCGGACGCAUAGAAUGAUUUUUUUGUCCUACUUCUCUUCGUCUACAAAUUCAAACCAAAUCUAACCGAGUAAUGUGAUGUACUAAAGCUAGGUUUGAGAUUUGAGAAGUGAGAAAGGAAGAAGAAAGACAACAAAAAAAUACUGACCUUCCACUCCCUGACUCCCGCACAACCGCAAGCCGACGCCGCACGCCGUUCAUCGCCGCCGCACGGCCCGCACGCCUGCCUGCCGCCGCCGCCUCGCGCAGCCGUACCCCUGUGACCCCGCCGCUGCGCUGCACACCCGCAAGCCGUCGCCACCGCCUCGCGCCGCCGCACCGCACGCCGCCUCGCGUAGCCCCGCCGCUGCCGCCUCGCGCCGCUGCGCCCCACCGCCGUACCGCACGCCGCCUCGCGUAGCCCCGCCGCCGCCGCCUCGCGCAGCUGUGCCCCUGCCGCCGCACGCCGCCUCGCGCCGCCCUGCCCCGCGGCCGCCGCCCUAUCGAGCGCCCAGCGCCGCCGCGCCCGUGCCGCUUGCAGGGAGUCAGGGAGAGUCGGAG
rnacentral:lncRNA from 1 species